rnacentral:rRNA from 1 species
UACGUAGGGCGCAAGCGUUAUCCGGAAUUAUUGGGCGUAAAGAGCUCGUAGGCGGUUUGUCGCGUCUGCCGUGAAAGUCCGGGGCUCAACUCCGGAUCUGCGGUGGGUACGGGCAGACUAGAGUGAUGUAGGGGAGGCUGGAAUUCCUGGUGUAGCGGUGAAAUGCGCAGAUAUCGGGAAGAACACCCGUGGCGAAGGCGGCUCUCUGGGACGGUACUGACGCUGAGACGCGAAAGCGUGGGGAGCGAACAGG